AAGACGCGAUAACCAGCCCACCACGGCACGUUGUGAGGUCACCCACAGGCUCGACUUUCGAUCGUGAACCUUGACGCCGAGCAAGCACAAUGCGUGUCGCUUAUGUUCCUAACCAGGCAACACGCUGCCAGGACCGUGGAACGACACGCGCUCAACAGUCAGGUUCGGGCGGAGACAGAGUACUGGUACGAUCCUCUUGCGACGAGCCGGCUUCUGGCCAACAUCCGAUGCUCAGGUCUCCCGCAUGUGCCGCGGGAGAUCGCCUUGACGGUCUGGAUCUUUCACGAGUCCUCUCAGUCGGGCAACGGAUAGAGUGGUGUAAAGUCCAAGCCCAUCGGUCACGUCUCGAAACACGGGCCAAGGAGUAUAGCAUGUGUGCAAGUCUAAGAGUCUCACAAAACUCGAAGGCGAAGUGAAAGCAAGUAAGCGGCGGGUGAUCUACGGAGAGAUCCCGUCAGCUAGAGGGGCCCUCGGGCCUCUCCGGCUUUGGCAGAGUUGAUCCUGCAGUGGUACCGCACACGUACGCUCAGGCGCAAACUCCAGGCUCACGUUUCGCACUGGUUCUCGGACUGUGCUGUGAGCACUGUGGAGCAUGCAUGCUAUGACCCGAAAGAUAGUGUACUAUGCCUGGCGAGGGCGAAGCCCCAGGAAACUGGGGUGGAGGCCCGUAGCCGUUGUGACGUGCAAAUC
rnacentral:rRNA from 2 species